CCUACGGGUGGCAGCAGUGGGGAAUAUUGCACAAUGGGGGAAACCCUGAUGCAGCGACGCCGCGUGAGUGAAGAAGUAAUUCGUUAUGUAAAGCUCUAUCAGCAGGGAAGAAAAUGACGGUACCUGAGUAAGAAGCCCCGGCUAACUACGUGCCAGCAGCCGCGGUAAUACGUAGGGGGCAAGCGUUAUCCGGAUGUACUGGGUGUAAAGGGAGCGUAGACGGCAGUGCAAGUCUGGAGUGAAAGGCGGGGGCUCAACCCAGUAGGGCAAAAGAUACUGCAAAGCUAGAGUAUGACAGAGGCAAGUGGAACUACAUGUGUAGCGGUAAAAUGCGUAAAUAUAUGUAAGAACACCAGUGGCGAAGGCGGCUUGCUGGGUCGAUACUGACAUUGAGGCACGAAAGCGUGGGGAGCAAACAGGAUUAGAUACCCGAGUAGUC
rnacentral:rRNA from 1 species